ensembl:lncRNA
UUCAAUUUGGGUUGUUUGCAGAGAAGGAGCGCUAUAUGGCCAGAGAGUCCUAUCACCAGUGGGGUGAAAUCAACUCUUUUCUGUGUAUGGCUUAUCUGUGAGUGCUUUGCCUGUUAUUGUCAAGAGCCUGGGAGAAGUAGUUUGGCUUCUUUGUGAGCAGUAUGAAGUUAAUACUUGGGAUGUUCUGAAGACUUGAUACACAGUCCUUCCAGUGGCACAUAAGACAACUGACGACAGCAGCAGCACAGUUGGGCAUGAAGGUUUUAUGCCUAUGUCUGUUCAGAAAUGCCCUUUCAGUUAUGUACUCCCAUAAACUGAAUCAGCAUAUAAAUCUGCACGCUAUGCAAUAGAUGUAUAUGUAGCGGAGGCGCUGGGAUCCAACUCAGGAUAAUGGUGAUAACAAGAAACAAAGAGGAGAUAGAUGUCUGAAAGAAAACUAAUACACAGUAGCCUUAAGCGGAAUCCAAAGGAGAACAUCUUCAUGGGAGGCUUCAAGUGAAUUUGGCAGGAGUGGCUCCAUGUCACAGAUGGGGAACUAUCCAGCAGAACUCUCUUAGCAGUCUUCAGGAACUCAAAUUAGCCUGACAAAUGUCUGGCUGCACACUUCAGAAGGAAGCUCGUGAAUGUUCUAGCAACAUCUGCUGUUACUUAUGUGACAGUGACAGAAGAAAAGGGAACAUAACGUUUGCUACUGAGCCAGCAAAUCUGGCUGAUCUUUUUCACUUGUUCAGGACACAAGGUGGGAAGGAAGUACAAAAUGGAAAACAAUUUCUAACGUGUGGUUUUAAAAUUCAAAUGAUGACUAAAAAGAUGAUAAAAGUCCCUUUUCAAAUUGUGAUAUCAGUGCCGCAGAACGUUUUUGGCUCAAUAGGAAGUCAGCCACGCAGUGAGGAACAGAGGAUGACUGUCAAAGUUGACACAGUACGAAUUGUAAAGAGUGAGUUCCAGGUGUUGGAUCCAGG